CGCCAGACUCCUACGGGAGGCAGCAGUGGGGGAUAUUGCACAAUGGGGGAAACCCUGAUGCAGCGACGCCGCGUGGGCGAAGAAGUAUUUCGGUAUGUAGAGCCCUAUCAGCAGGGAAGAAGAAAUGACGGUACCUGAGUAAGAAGCACCGGCUAAAUACGUGCCAGCAGCCGCGGUAAUACGUAUGGUGCAAGCGUUAUCCGGGUUUACUGGGUGUAAAGGGAGCGCAGGCGGCACGGCAAGCCUGAUGUGAAAACCCGAGGCUCAACCACGGGAGUGCAUUGGAAACUGGCGGGCUGGAGUGCCGGAGAGGUAAGCGGAAUUCCUAGUGUAGCGGUGAAAUGCGUAGAUAUUAGGAGGAACACCAGUGGCGAAGGCGGCUUACUGGACGGCAACUGACGCUGAGGCUCGAAAGCGUGGGGAGCAAACAGGAUUAGAUACCCCUGUAAGA
rnacentral:rRNA from 1 species